rnacentral:rRNA from 1 species
AUUGAACGCUGGCGGCAUGCCUUACACAUGCAAGUCGAACGGCAGCAUGAUCUAGCUUGCUAGAUUGAUGGCGAGUGGCGAACGGGUGAGUAAUACAUCGGAACGUGCCCUGUAGUGGGGGAUAACUAGUCGAAAGAUUAGCUAAUACCGCAUACGACCUGAGGGUGAAAGUGGGGGACCGCAAGGCCUCAUGCUAUAGGAGCGGCCGAUGUCUGAUUAGCUAGUUGGUGAGGUAAAGGCUCACCAAGGCGACGAUCAGGAGCUGGUCUGAGAGGACGGUCAGCCACACUGGGACUGAGACACGGCCCAGACUCCUACGGGAGGCAGCAGUGGGGAAUUUUGGACAAUGGGCGAAAGCCUGAUCCAGCAAUGCCGCGUGUGUGAAGAAGGCCUUCGGGUUGUAAAGCACUUUUGUCCGGAAAGAAAUGGCUCUGGUUAAUACCUGGGGUCGAUGACGGUACCGGAAGAAUAAGGACCGGCUAACUACGUGCCAGCAGCCGCCGUAA